AUUGAACGCUGGCGGCAGGCCUAACACAUGCAAGUCGAACGGUAGCACAGAGAGCUUGCUCUCCGGUGACGAGCGGCGGACGGGUGAGUAAUGUCUGGGAAACUGCCUGAUGGAGCGGGAUAACUACUGGAAACGGUAGCUAAUUCCGCAUAACGUCGCAAGACCACAGAGGGGGAUCUUCGGGUCUCUUGCUACCAUAUGUGCCAAGAUGGGAUUAGCUAGUAGGUGGGGUAACGGCUCACCUAGGCGACGAUCCCUAGCUGGUCUGAGAGGAUGACCAGCCACACUGGAACUGAGACACGGUCCAGACUCCUACGGGAGGCAGCAGUAGGGAAUAUUGCACAAUGGGCGCAAGCCUGAUGCAGCCAUGCCGCGUGUAUGAAGAAGGCCUUCGGGUUGUAAAGUACUUUUAGCGGGGAGGAAGGUGCGGAGAUUAAUAACCUCAGCAAUUGACGUUACCCGCAGAAAAAGCACCGGCUAACUCCGUG
rnacentral:rRNA from 1 species